rnacentral:tRNA from 1 species
GUCCCUGUAGCUCAGUGGAUAGAGCGCUGGCCUCCGGAGCCAGAAGCGGCAGUUCGAGUCUGCCCAGGGACGCCA